rnacentral:misc_RNA from 1 species
UCCGAGUUGACCCCGGCAGUCUUCGAUGAGUCCCCGCCAUAACGCGCUGGCAACAUCGAACGAGGGUUGCGCUCGUUGCGGGACUUAACCCAACAUCUCACGACACGAGCUGACGACAGCCAUGCAGCACCUGUCUCCAGGUUCCCGAAGGCACCCCACUGUUUCCAGCGGGUCCCAGGGAUGUCAAGCCUCGGUAAGGUUCUACGCGUAGCGUCAUAUUAAACCACAUCCUCCUCUGCUUGUGCGGGUCCCCGUCAAUUCCUUUGAGUUUUAGCCUUGCGGCCGUACUUCCCAGGCGGCAUACUUAUCGCGUUAGCUGCGUCGCACAGGGGGUCGAUACCCCCGGCACCUAGCACCCAUCGUUUACGGCGUGGACUAC